rnacentral:rRNA from 1 species
GGGGCAUCAGUAUUCUGAAGCGAGAGGUGAAAUUCUUGGACCUUCGGAAGACUAACAACUGCGAAAGCAUUUGCCUAGGAUGUUCUCUUUAAUCAAGAACGAAAGUUGGGGGAUCGAAGACGAUCAGAUACCGUCGUAGUCUCAACUAUAAACUAUGCCAGCUAGGGAUUGGUGGAUGUUUGUUUACGACUCCAUCAGCACCUUAUGAGAAAUCAAAGCAUUUGGGUUCCGGGGGGAGUAUGGUCGCAAGGCUGAAAACUUAAAGGAAUUGACGGGAGGGCACCACCAGGGAGUGGAGCCUGUGGCUUAAUUUGACUCA